rnacentral:rRNA from 1 species
AUGAACGCUAGCGGCAGGCCUAACACAUGCAAGUCGAGGGAGAAGCCCUUUCGGGGGCAGAAACCGGCGCACGGGUGCGUAACGCGUAUGCAACCUACCUUUCACAGGGGGAUAGCCCGAAGAAAUUUGGAUUAAUACCCCAUAAUAUUAUUGGAUGGCAUCAUUUGAUAAUUAAAACUGCGGUGGUGAAAGAUGGGCAUGCGUCCUAUUAGCUAGUUGGAGUGGUAACGGCACCCCAAGGCUACGAUAGGUAGGGGUCCUGAGAGGGAGAUCCCCCACACUGGGACUGAGACAGGGACCAGACUCCUACGGGAGGCAGCAGUGAGGAAUAUUGGUCAAUGGUCGGAAGACUGAACCAGCCAUGCCGCGUGCAGGAAGAAUGCCUUAUGGGUUGUAAACUGCUUUUAUAUGGGAAGAAUAAGGUGUACGUGUACAUUGAUGACGGUACCAUAUGAAUAAGCAUCGGCUAACUCCGUG